rnacentral:rRNA from 1 species
UGGGGAAUUUUGGACAAUGGGCGCAAGCCUGAUCCAGCAAUGCCGCGUGAGUGAAGAAGGCCUUCGGGUUGUAAAGCUCUUUUGUCAGGGAAGAAACGGUGCGGGCUAAUACCCUGCACUAAUGACGGUACCUGAAGAAUAAGCACCGGCUAACUACGUGCCAGCAGCCGCGGUAAUACGUAGGGUGCAAGCGUUAAUCGGAAUUACUGGGCGUAAAGCGUGCGCAGGCGGUUUUGUAAGUCUGAUGUGAAAUCCCCGGGCUCAACCUGGGAAUUGCAUUGGAGACUGCAAGGCUAGAAUCUGGCAGAGGGGGGUAGAAUUCCACGUGUAGCAGUGAAAUGCGUAGAGAUGUGGAGGAACACCGAUGGCGAAGGCAGCCCCCUGGGUCAAGAUUGACGCUCAUGCACGAAAGCGUGGGGAGCAAACAG